rnacentral:lncRNA from 1 species
GUUGUACCGAGCUGAGGUCCUUGAGGACAAUUGAACGAAUGACUGUUUGUCACAAGUCUUCAGGGCCCUGUAUCACUGCGGAACCAAAUGAACAUCACAGGAUAAGCUUCCGGACACAAGCACACUGAGGUGUGAGGUACUUCUGAGCCUGUCCUGUGAAGCCAGCUGCAGAGGACUUAUCACCUCCAACUUGUCCACAUGUGGCUUCUUUGACAUUGUCCAUAUGCUUCCUCUGGUUUUUCUUCAUUGUUUCCUUUGUGGUAACCAGCUUCCUCUUCCUGGCCCCUGGUGACCAUUCCUUGCAGGUCAGUCCUCUGGCACCUUCUUAUUAAUGAAGAACUCUGUGUGACACCUUGUGACAUACCUUACAAUGGAUCUUGACACCUCACUGCAUUUUAAGCCUCGGUUGAGAAUUGCUGACUACAAG